AAUGUCUAUGUAGCUUUUCUUUUAUUGCUUUUUAGAAUCAGUCCAUAUUCAACUCUAAUGCUGGACUGUUUUCCCUCACACAUUUUAUGAAGGCUUUUUUUUUCUUCUAAGAUUUUAUUUAUUUAUUUUUGAGAGAGAAAGAGAGAACAGUGGGGAAAGAGGGGUAGGGGAAGAAACUGAGCAGGGAGCACGAUAUGGGCUCCAUCCCGGGACUCUGGGAUCAUGACCUGAGCCAAAGACACACGCUUCACCAGCUGAGCCACCCAGGAGCCCGUCCCCCCCCCACAUUUUAUUAAGAACUUUCUUAAUCUGGGCAGCCCCGGUGGCCUAUAGUUUAGCGUGGCCUUUGGCCCAGGGCCUGAUCCUGGAGACCUGGGAUCAAGUCUCGCAUUGGGCUCCCUACAUGGAGCCUGCUUCUCCCUCUGCCUGUUUCUCUGCUUCUCUCUCUCUGUGUCUCUCAUGAGUAAAUGAAUAAAAUCUUAAAAAAAAAAAAAAAAAAAAGAAUAUUCUUAAUCAUGCAAAGAAGGCCAAAGAUACCUUCAUCUUAGACUUAAUGACUUUUUUCCAUAUUUGCUUUGUCUAUAUGUGUAUGCAAGUGUUUUGCUGAGCCAUCUGAAAAUGAGUUGUAGACAUUGAGACACUUGUUUGUGAAGUUUUUCAGCAUGCACUUCCUAAAAAUAAAGACAUUCUCUUAUAUAACCACAUUAUUACACCUAAGAAAAUUCACAAGAAUUUCGUAAUAUCAUCUGUCCAUUUCCAUAUUUAAAUUUUUUCAGCUGUACCAAGAAUAGCUGGGUUUGGGGUUUUCUCUAAAUCAAGGUCAUCCGGUCAUGCAUUAUAUUUGGUUAUUACGUCUUUUCAGUGUCCUUUAAUCUCAAAUCAUCACACUGUUUUUUUGUUUGUUUUUUUGUUUUUAAUCCCAAGCUCAUUGUCUUGUAGGAUACUGUUCCAUAUUCUGUAUUUGUCUGUGGUUUUCUCCUGGUGGUGUUUAACUUGUUUCUCUUCCCUUUAUUUCUCAUGAGGUAGAA
rnacentral:lncRNA from 12 species